rnacentral:rRNA from 1 species
AAACAACUCUCAGCAACGGAUAUCUUGGYUCUUGCAACGAUGAAGAACGCAGCGAAAUGCGAUACGUAGUGUGAAUUGCAGAAUUCCGCGAAUCAUCGAGUCUUUGAACGCAAGUUGCGCCCGAGGCUUGUCCAAGGGCAUCUCUGCCAGAGCGUCACC